rnacentral:rRNA from 1 species
UAAGCAUAUAAGUAAGUGGAGGAAGUCAAACAAAAAUGGGUUCCUCCAGUAACAGCGAGUGAAGAUGGAAUAGGUCAACUUGGAAUUCGGGGGGGGCCCCUCUGAAAUGCAUGUUUGAAUGUGUUGCCAAUGGAGGCGCAAAUGUGAGCCAUUUCUGGGAAAAACCGAAUUAACCAGCUUCAAUAAGGGUGAAAAUCCCAGUGGGCACUUGCGGACCUCUGUUUACGGUGUAAAUUUACAGAAUCACGCUCCUUGGAACUGGAGUGCAAAGCGGGUGGUAAAUCUCAUGCAAAGGUGAAUACAUCUAUGGGACUGAUAGAGGAAAAGUACCGCGAGGGAACUAUGAAAAGGACUUUGAAAAGAGAAUUAAAAAGAGCCUGCGCUUGCUGUAUGAAAAGCAUACAGAAUAGCAAAAGAUUUCGAAAGAUUGCUGCAUGGUCUUUUGAAUGACCCAUGCCCUUUUGAAGAUGGAGCUGCUGUGGUCUGCAUGUGUGUUGUGUGUGGAGGUUCUUUUUUUACGUGCCAGUUCCAGUUGCCAGAGAUAAAUUCUGGACGUAUUGUGAUGUGUGCCCCGAGGUUUGUCAUUGUGCGUACGUGAUGAUGUGUAGAUUGUUGAGGAGCUGGAUCCUGGUGGAGUUGUUGAAGGCUGCCCAUGCCCCUUUUGCUGGAAGACUUUGCAGAAAUCCUGGUCCAACCCUCUGACUAGCCACUUCUGUGUGACCCGUCUUGAAAC